UUCAACAAAUUCUGCAUGAACAGAGAAAUAGUCUAAUAAAUGAAGAACACAGAACUGUUAAUUAAUUUGAAGUUUAAAAAAAAAAAAAAUUUAAAACCUGGCAAACAGUUUCUAUAAACAAAAGGAAAUGUGAGGCUGCUCACCUGCUGCAGCUGUUUUAUGUGUGAACAAAGAGUCAUGCAACGUUCAGUCACAGCUUUCAUUGCACUGUGGAAAAACAAGAAAUUACUAAUACUAUCAUCAAAUUAAACUAAAGAUCAGUAACAGUUGUGAGCAAAUUCACUUACUCAGCUUCUGAAUCGUUCUCUUUCAGCUUUUCUGCAAUAGCGUGCCACAUUUGCAUUCUGACAAACAAGUUAAUUAACGUUAGUCAAAUGUAACAGACAAUUUCUCCAGAUCUGAA